GACCACGUGGCCGAAUGGAUAAGGCGUCUGACUUCGGAUCAGAAAACUGAGGGUUCGAAUCCCUCUGUGGUUA
rfam:Pongo abelii chromosome 6.